GGAGGAUCCAAGCGUUAUCCGGAAUCAUUGGGUUUAAAGGGUCCGUAGGCGGUCAGGUAAGUCAGUGGUGAAAGCCCAUCGCUCAACGGUGGAACGGCCAUUGAUACUGCUUGACUUGAAUCAUUAGGAAGUAACUAGAAUAUGUAGUGUAGCGGUGAAAUGCUUAGAGAUUACAUGGAAUACCAAUUGCGAAGGCAGGUUACUACUAAUAUAUUGACGCUGAUGGACGAAAGCGUGGGUAGCGAACAGGAUUAGAUACCCUGGUAGUCCACGCCGUAAACGAUGGAUACUAGCUGUUGGGAGCAAUCUCAGUGGCUAAGCGAAAGUGAUAAGUAUCCCACCUGGGGAGUACGAACGCAAGUUUGAA
rnacentral:rRNA from 1 species